rnacentral:misc_RNA from 1 species
AACUGAUACUACCUGCGGGAACCUGCGGAAGGAUCAAUAGUGAGUUGGGAAUGUAAUAUUGUGAACUGUGGGGUGUAAUGGUGAUGAUUGUUAUCAUUGCUGUUACCCCUGGACAAUAACACAUAACACAAAACGAUAACAAUCAAGAUCAAAUACAAUCAAUCAAUCAAAACAACUUUUAACAAUGGAUCUCU